rnacentral:rRNA from 1 species
UACGAAGGGGGCUAGCGUUGUUCGGAAUUACUGGGCGUAAAGGGCGCGUAGGCGGCGUGUCAAGUCAGGCGUGAAAGCCCCGGGCUCAACCUGGGAACCGCGCUUGAGACUGGAGUACUAGAGUUCGGGAGAGGAUGGUGGAAUUCCCAGUGUAGAGGUGAAAUUCGUAGAUAUUGGGAAGAACACCGAUGGCGAAGGCAGCCAUCUGGACCGACACUGACGCUGAGGCGCGAAAGCGUGGGGAGCAAACAGG